rnacentral:rRNA from 1 species
AGCAGCCGCGGUAAUUCCAGCUCCAAUAGCGUAUAUUAAAGUUGUUGCAGUUAAAAAGCUCGUAGUUGAAUUUCGGGAUCAAGGAAUCGGUCAUGCCUUGGUAUGUACUGGUUUUAUUGGUUCUCACCUUCUAAAGAACCAUAAUGUCAUUUAUUUGAUGUUAUGGGGAAUUAGGACUGUUACCUUGAAAAAAUUAGAGUGUUUAAAGCAAGCUUACGCUUGAAUACAUUAGCAUGGAAUAAUGAAAUAGGACAUCAGAUUCUAUUUUGUUGGUUUCUAGGAUCGAUGUAAUGAUUAAUAGGGAUAGUUGGGGGCAUUAGUAUUCAAUUGUCAGAGGUGAAAUUCUUGGAUUUAUUGAAGACUAACUACUGCGAAAGCAUUUGCCAAGGAUGUUUUCAUUAAUCAAGAACGAAAGUUAGGGGAUCGAAGACGAUCAGAUACCGUCGUAGUCUUAACCAUAAACUAUGCCGACUAGGGAUCGGAUGAUGUUAAUUUUAUAAUGACUCAUUCGGCACCUUACG